rnacentral:rRNA from 1 species
GAUGAACGCUGGCGGCGUGCCUAACACAUGCAAGUCGAACGGAGAUUAUUCGCUGCGGAGCCUUCGGGCGAAGCUUGAAUGAUCUUAGUGGCGGACGGGUGAGUAACGCGUGGGCAACCUGCCUUGCACAGGGGGAUAGCAGUUGGAAACGACUGGUAAUACCGCAUAUCUUAGAGAGACCGCAUGAUCUUUUUAAGAAAACGUUAGUGGUGCAAGAUGGGCCCGCGUCCG